rnacentral:tRNA from 2 species
GCCCUGGUAGUUCAGUGGUAGAAUUCUCACCUUCGAUGUGGGAGACCCAGGUUUGACUCCUGGCCAAGGCA